rnacentral:lncRNA from 1 species
AAACUGCUAAUCUUUGAUACCGCUUUAUACUCACGAUCUUGUAUCCACUGACUGUCUUGUUAGAUUAACCCAAUAAAUUUCAUUCACUCCGCAUACUCAAUCCUAUAAACAUCCUUUUAACUCUUUCAUCACAAACGUAACUCGAUUUCACAAAACAGUCAAGAGUAAUCAAAUCCACUUCAUUAAAAUUCUCGAUUCACCAUUACAACACUGACUUCAACAACGAUUGCCUCAGUCUUCUGAAAACCCUAUGAAGAAAAAAAACCAAAUUCUCUGUCUUCUUUCCCCGCCCGAAGCAUGAAUCUAGCUCUCCUCC